AGAGUUUGAUCCUGGCUCAGGACGAACGCUGGCGGCGUGCUUAACACAUGCAAGUCGAGCGCUGAAGCCUUCGGGUGGAUGAGCGGCGAACGGGUGAGUAACACGUGGGUGACCUGCCCUCAGCUCUGGGAUAAGCCUGGGAAACUGGGUCUAAUACCGGAUAUGACUUCCUGCCGCAUGGUGGGUUGUGGAAAGUUUUUCGGCUGAGGAUGGGCCCGCGGCCUAUCAGCUUGUUGGUGGGGUGAUGGCCUACCAAGGCGACGACGGGUAGCCGGCCUGAGAGGGCGACCGGCCACACUGGGACUGAGACACGGCCCAGACUCCUACGGGAGGCAGCAGUGGGGAAUAUUGCGCAAUGGGCGAAAGCCUGACGCAGCGACGCCGCGUGGGGGAUGACGGCCUUCGGGUUGUAAACCUCUUUCGCCAGGGACGAAGCUAACGUGACGGUACCUGGAUAAGAAGCACCGGCCAACUACGUGCCAGCAGCCGCGGUAAUACGUAGGGUGCGAGCGUUGUCCGGAAUUAUUGGGCGUAAAGAGCUCGUAGGCGGUGUGUCACGUCGGUCGUGAAAACCUGGGGCUUAACUCUGGGCUUGCGGUCGAUACGGGCAUCACUUGAGUUCGGCAGGGGAGACUGGAAUUCCUGGUGUAGCGGUGAAAUGCGCAGAUAUCAGGAGGAACACCGGUGGCGAAGGCGGGUCUCUGGGCCGAUACUGACGCUGAGGAGCGAAAGCGUGGGGAGCGAACAGGAUUAGAUACCCNNGUAGUCC
rnacentral:rRNA from 1 species